rnacentral:rRNA from 1 species
AACGAACGCUGGCGGCAUGCCUAACACAUGCAAGUCGAACGAACCCUUCGGGGUUAGUGGCGCACGGGUGCGUAACGCGUGGGAAUCUGCCCUUGGGUUCGGAAUAACAGUUAGAAAUGACUGCUAAUACCGGAUGAUGUCUUCGGACCAAAGAUUUAUCGCCCAGGGAUGAGCCCGCGUAGGAUUAGGUAGUUGGUGGGGUAAAGGCCUACCAAGCCGACGAUCCUUAGCUGGUCUGAGAGGAUGAUCAGCCACACUGGGACUGAGACACGGCCCAGACUCCUACGGGAGGCAGCAGUGGGGAAUAUUGGACAAUGGGCGCAAGCCUGAUCCAGCAAUGCCGCGUGAGUGAUGAAGGCCUUCGGGUCGUAAAGACUCUUUACCCGGGUAUGAUAAUGACAGUACCGGGAGAAUAAGACUCCGGCGUAACUCCGUGCCAGCAG